CUGCGCCACCACUGAGCCCUUUUCCCUGUGGGGGCCUGGUGUGCAAAGGCUGCAAACAGCAGCCUCCUCGGUAGUGGAGGUAGCAUACAGCAGCUGCUUGUACGGGUUGUGUUAAGGGACCUCGGAGACAGCA